rnacentral:rRNA from 1 species
UACGGAGGGAGCUAGCGUUGUUCGGAAUUACUGGGCGUAAAGCGCGCGUAGGCGGCUUUGUAAGUCAGAGGUGAAAGCCCGGGGCUCAACCCCGGAACUGCCUUUAAAACUGCAUCGCUUGAAUCCGGGAGAGGUGAGUGGAAUUCCGAGUGUAGAGGUGAAAUUCGUAGAUAUUCGGAAGAACACCAGUGGCGAAGGCGGCUCACUGGACCGGCAUUGACGCUGAGGUGCGAAAGCGUGGGGAGCAAACAGG